rnacentral:rRNA from 1 species
GAAUUACAUGCCCUUCAGUGGGGAAUAGCCCAGGGAAACUUGGAUUAAUACCCCAUGGUAUCGCAAGAUUAAAGGUGGCCGCAAGGCUGUCGCUGAAGGAUUGGUUCGCGCCCUAUCAGCUUGUUGGUGAGGUAACGGCUCACCAAGGCUACGACGGGUACCUGGUCUGAGAGGACGAUCAGGCACACUGGAACUGAGACACGGUCCAGACACCUACGGGUGGCAGCAGUCGAGAAUAAUUCACAAUGGACGAAAGUCUGAUGGUGCAACGCCGCGUGGAGGAUGACGGUCUUCGGAUUGUAAACUCCUGUCAUCCGGGAGUAAGACCUGGCUGUGAAUAGCAGACAGGGUUGAUAGUACCGGAAGAGGAAGGGACGGCUAACUUCGUGCCAGCAGCCGCGGUAAUACGAAGGUCCCGAGCGUUGUUCGGAAUCACUGGGCGUAAAGGGAGCGUAGGCGGCGUGGUAAGUCAGAUGUGAAAUCCCGGGGCUCAACCCCGGAACUGCAUCCGAUACUGCCGUGCUAGAGGAUUGGAGAGGUAGCUGGAAUUCUUGGU